rnacentral:rRNA from 1 species
GUCUUAAUUGGGCGUUAAGUUGCAGGGUAUAGACCCGAAACCCGGUGAUCUAGCCAUGGGCAGGUUGAAGGUUGGGUAACACUAACUGGAGGACCGAACCGACUAAUGUUGAAAAAUUAGCGGAUGACCUGUGGCUGGGGGUGAAAGGCCAAUCAAACCGGGAGAUAGCUGGUUCUCCCCGAAAGCUAUUUAGGUAGCGCCUCGUGAAUUCAUCUCCGGGGGUAGAGCACUGUUUCGGCUAGGGGGCCAUCCCGGCUUACCAACCCGAUGCAAACUGCGAAUACCGGAGAAUGUUAUCACGGGAGACACACGGCGGGUGCUAACGUCCGUCGUGAAGAGGGAAACAACCCAGACCGCCAGCUAAGGUCCCAAAGUCAUGGUUAAGUGGGAAACGAUGUGGGAAGGCCCAGACAGCCAGGAUGUUGGCUUAGAAGCAGCCAUCAUUUAAAGAAAGCGUAAUAGCUCACUGGUCGAGUCGGCCUGCGCGGAAGAUGUAACGGG